AAGGGCAGUAAGUUAAUACCUUGCUGUUUUGACGUUACCGACAGAAUAAGCACCGGCUAACUUCGUGCCAGCAGCCGCGGUAAUACGAAGGGUGCAAGCGUUAAUCGGAAUUACUGGGCGUAAAGCGCGCGUAGGUGGUUUGUUAAGUUGGAAGUGAAAGCCCCGGGCUCAACCUGGGAACUGCUUUCAAAACUGGCAAGCUAGAGUAUGGCAGAGGGUGGUGGAAUUUCCUGUGUAGCGGUGAAAUGCGUAGAUAUAGGA
rnacentral:rRNA from 1 species